rnacentral:rRNA from 1 species
GUGAGAGUGGCGCACGGGUGAGUAACGCGUAUGCAACCUACCUUAUACAGGGGAAUAGCCCAUAGAAAUGUGGAUUAAUACCUCAUAGUUCUAUUAUAUCGCAUGAUUUGACAGAUAAAACUCCGGUGGUUAAAGAUGGGCAUGCGUGACAUUAGCUAGUUGGUAAGGUAACGGCUUACCAAGGCUACGAUGUCUAGGGGUUCUGAGAGGAUGAUCCCCCACACUGGUACUGAGACACGGACCAGACUCCUACGGGAGGCAGCAGUGAGGAAUAUUGGUCAAUGGGCGCAAGCCUGAACCAGCCAUCCCGCGUGCAGGAUGACGGCCCUAUGGGUUGUAAACUGCUUUUAUACACCAAGAAAAACUUCCACGUGUGGGAGCUUGACGGUAGUGUAUGAAUAAGCAUCGGCUAACUCCGUGCCAGCAGCCGCGGUAAUACGGAGGAUGCAAGCGUUAUCCGGAUUCAUUGGGUUUAAAGGGUGCGUAGGCGGCUUUUUAAGUCAGUGGUGAAAUCCUGCCGCUUAACGGUAGAAUUGCCAUUGAUACUGACAAGCUUGAGUACAUUUGAGGUAAGCGGAAUGUGUAGUGUAGCGGUGAAAUGCUUAGAUAUUACACAGAACACCAAUUGCGAAGGCAGCUUACUAAACUGUUACUGACGCUGAGGCACGAAAGCGUGGGGAGCAAACAGGAUUAGAUACCCUGGUAGUCCACGCUGUAAACGAUGGGUGCUAGGUGUUGGGCGUCAAAACUCGGUGCCAAAGCUAACGCAAUAAGCUCCCCGCCUGGGGAGUACGGCCGCAAGGUUAAAACUCAAAGGAAUUGACGGGGACCCGCACAAGCAGUGGAAUAUGUGGUUUAAUUCGACGCAACGCGAAGAACCUUACCUAGUCUUGACAUCCCGUUGACUGGCAUAGAGAUAUCAUAGCUAGCAAUGACAUGUAGACAGGUGCUGCAUGGCUGUCGUCAGCUCGUGUCGUGAGGUGUUGGGUUAAGUGCCAUAACGAGCGCAACCCUUGUCGUUAGUUACCAUCAAGUAAUGUUGGGGACUCUAGCGAGACUGCCACCGUAAGGUGUGAGGAAGGGGGGGAUGACGUCAAAUCAGCACGGCCCUUACGUCCGGGGCGACACACGUGUUACAAUGGCCGGUACAGAGGGGAGCUACCAGGUGACUGGAUGCUAAUCUCCAAAGUCGGUCUCAGUUCGGAUCGAAGUCUGCAACCCGACUUCGUGAAGCUGGAUUCGCUAGUAAUCGCAUAUCAGCCAUGAUGCGGUGAAUACGUUCCCGGGCCU